GCGCCUGUAGCUCAGCUGGAGAGAGCGUGGGGUUGCGGACCCCAAGGUCGCAGGUUCAAGUCCUGCCAGGCGCA
rnacentral:tRNA from 1 species